AGAGUUUGAUCCUGGCUCAGGACGAACGCUGGCGGCGUGCUUAACACAUGCAAGUCGAACGGGGUUUAGCGAGAAGUUUACUUUUAGCUAAACCAAGUGGCGGACGGGUGAGUAACGCGUGGAUAACCUGCCCCAUAGCCUGGGAUAACGCCGGGAAACUGGUGCUAAUACCGGAUACGGUCAUCCGGCUGCAUAGCCGGAUGAAGAAAGGUGCAAACCGCUAUAGGAUGGGUCCGCGUCCCAUUAGCUAGUUGGUAGGGUAACGGCCUACCAAGGCCGCGAUGGGUAGCCGGCCUGAGAGGGCGACCGGCCACACUGGAACUGAGACACGGUCCAGACUCCUACGGGAGGCAGCAGUGGGGAAUCUUCCGCAAUGGGCGCAAGCCUGACGGAGCAACGCCGCGUGAGUGACGAAGGUCUUCGGAUUGUAAAACUCUGUCCAAAGGGAAGAAACAAAUGACGGUACCUUUGGAGGAAGCCCCGGCUAACUACGUGCCAGCAGCCGCGGUAAAACGUAGGGGGCAAGCGUUGUCCGGAAUUACUGGGCGUAAAGGGCGUGUAGGCGGCUCUACAAGUUAGAAGUGAAACCUAUCGGCUUAACCGGUGGCCUGCUUCUAAAACUGUCGGGCUUGAGUGCAGAAGAGGGGAGUGGAAUUCCCAGUGUAGCGGUGAAAUGCGUAGAUAUUGGGAGGAACACCAGUGGCGAAAGCGGCUCCCUGGCCUGUAACUGACGCUGAGGCGCGAAAGCGUGGGUAGCAAACAGGAUUAGAUACCCUGGUAGUCCACGCCGUAAACGAUGGGUGCUAGGUGUUGGGGGUAUCGACCCCCCCAGUGCCGCAGUUAACGCAAUAAGCACCCCGCCUGGGGAGUACGGCCGCAAGGCUGAAACUCAAAGGAAUUGACGGGGGCCCGCACAAGCGGUGGAGUAUGUGGUUUAAUUCGACGCAACGCGAAGAACCUUACCAGGUCUUGACAUCUCCUGCUCGCUGUGGAAACACAGAAUUCUUCUUCGGAAGACAGGAAGACAGGUGGUGCAUGGUUGUCGUCAGCUCGUGUCGUGAGAUGUUGGGUUAAGUCCCGCAACGAGCGCAACCCCUACCUUUAGUUGCCAGCGCGUAAUGGUGGGCACUCUAAAGGGACUGCCGUUGACAAAACGGAGGAAGGUGGGGAUGACGUCAAAUCAUCAUGCCCUUUAUGACCUGGGCUACACACGUACUACAAUGGCCGGUCCAGACGGACGCGCAGCCGCGAGGUGAAGCGAACCCGAGAAAGCCGGUCCCAGUUCGGAUUGCAGGCUGCAACUCGCCUGCAUGAAGUCGGAAUCGCUAGUAAUCGCAGGUCAGCAUACUGCGGUGAAUACGUUCCCGGGCCUUGUACACACCGCCCGUCACACCACGAAAGUUGGCAACACCCGAAGCCGGUGAGUUAACCUGCAAAGGAAACAGCCGUCGAAGGUGGGGUCGGUAAUUGGGGUGAAGUCGUAACAAGGUAACC
rnacentral:rRNA from 1 species